CUGGACUUGACCGACUCGGAGGACGGGCUGUGGGUGAAGCUCUGCGACACGUCGCAGUCGUCCAGCACCGUCAUGUCCUGCAGCGUGGUCAGAGUGGCUCCCCAGGUCUUUUUCACCUGAAGGAAACACAUUUUAAAGGGACGCCAGGCGGGUCUGGAGCUGAGUGAGGCGCAGCGACAGCUCAGCCUGGACCUGCGGCUGGGAGGCGAUCUGGGUCGUCUGACAGGAAGCGAAACGUCACCAACACAAGAAGAAAAAACUGCAAAUCCUCAGCGCUGCGGUGGGCAGAAGGCAGUAGGGUAGAGGCCCAGCAGACGCUGCCUGUCGCGGGCCGGGUCCAGGUUCUCCACAGCCCCCUCCAGCACCUCCAGGCCCGCCCGCCUGGAGGCUUCAAGGCUCAGUUCGGCGGAUAGGCCGAACACAGGCUCCACCCCGCCGCCCGACCCGGACACGCCCUUCACGCGGCCCUCCUGCCGCUCCGCCUCCCGCAGCUUGGUCUCCGCGCUGAUCAUCUCCGCGUUGUACAUGUGAUACGUCUUCAUCACCUUGCUAAAGUGCAGCGACUGCCAGCGGCUCUGAGCCGAGGACCUCCAUCACAUCCGGCGCCGCUCGGCGGACAGACGCCCUGCAGAGCCGGCCGCCCCGGUGGCCAUGGCGACGCAGACGAGCCGCGCCCGCCGGGAACGGGAUUCAUCCAUCCUGGGAUUCAAGACGGUUUAGCCACUCACCCUUUUCAGGAGCCGAGCCGAAUCCUCGCUGAUGUGCGUCAGACGGCUGAUGACGUUGUUCAGCGCUCUGCGAGCUUCUCCAGGUUCCUGGAAUACUCCGUUUCGAUCUCGGCCUUCUUCCUGAAGAAGUCCUGCAGGUCCUGAAGCAGCUGCACCCGCAUCUCCGUCUGCUGCUCCAGGCAGCGCUGCUGCUCCGCCAACUGGGCCCGCACAUCUGCAGCACAACCCAAAACACGACCCAGAGCGCUUCAUAUUAUUGCUGGAAUUGAUGAGCCAUGAGUUUCUUGGCUCAUCAAGGACUUGAAGCUGAAAUGUUUGGCUGCAUAGAGGAAGACCUUCAGGACGUCAGAGUUUCCUCUGGGAUGAAGAAUCGCCGGAGCAGAGCUUGCUUAACGCUGGCAGCAGAACCCCCAUCAGAACCGCAGGUCCAGACUCCCAGUCCGGUUUAUGGAGAGGAAACUCAACCGGAUCCAGACCAAAAUCUAAAUCAGAUUAAAUACUUUAUGAUGGACCGUUGAUUGAUUGAACCAAGAAGGAGGAACAACCUGCACAAAUGUAGAACAACAAAAUAUUCCUUUUGCUGCCAUUUUCCCUUUAAAUCCAGUUGAAGCCGAACGUUUUAUCAUUGAGCUGUUUGGUGAAAUUAGUGUCUGAAUGUUUCUGUUAACGUGAUUUAAACAACUUCAGAAAGUUGUAAAUAUGUCUUCAUAAGGAAAGGGUGUACUUUCUUUUUCAAAUCGCUGUGUGUUGAGUUUUCACCCUCAGUUAUU